rnacentral:rRNA from 1 species
GAUGAACGCUAGCGGCGUGCCUAACACAUGCAAGUCGAACGUGAGAGGGUACUUGUAUCCUUGAAAGUGGCGGACGGGUGAGUAAGACGUAGGUGACCUGCCUUGAAGUGGGGGAUAACCAUUGGAAACGAUGGCUAAUACCGCAUAAGCUGGUGAUGAUGGGAAUCGUUAUCAGGAAAGCUUUAGUGCUUUGAGGAGGGGCCUACGGCCGAUUAGCUAGUUGGUGAGGUAAAGGCUCACCAAGGCGAUGAUCGGUAGCUGGUCUGAGAGGACGAUCAGCCACACGGGAACUGAGACACGGUCCCGACUCCUACGGGGGGCAGCAGUGAGGAAUAUUCGGCAAUGGGGGCAACCCUGACCGAGCAACGCCGCGUGGAGGAUGACGGUUUUCGGAUUGUAAACUCCUUUUCUCAGGGAAGAGCGAGGACGGUACCGUGGGGAAUAAGUCACGGCUAACUACGUG